UUGGGAAAGCUGGAGGAGAGAAAUGGAAGUCCUUGUCCAAUGCUGAGAAAGCUCCAUAUGAAGCCAAGGCUGCAGAAAGGAAAGUUGAGUAU